UUCCCUGGGGGUCUACGUCACGAGAAGACAUUAACACCAGUUUUCUCAUCUUAAAGUCCUGUUUCUACAACUCAUCAUUGAUCUCAUUGGUGCUUCUUAGAGAUCUUCCAGGAUUUCUUUUUCCUAAUCUCCCAAAUUGGAAGACGAUGCAUUUUUGGUUUUAUAUGAAAAAUGGGCAAAUGGCAUCUCUUCUCUCCCAUUCUCGUCCUGACCUACCACUCCUCGCAUUUACAUCGCCAUUUUCUGUGCACAGGCGCUUUCACUUGCAGGGGGGUUUGAUACUAUUCUACCUUCUCUCUUUUUUUCCCUGUGAUGUCAAGGCAAGCAAUCUAAAAGGAACUUUUUUGGCUUCUUAAUUCAAGCGAGGGAUCAUUGUGUCUGGUGAACUUAUCAUUGUUGCCUGUCCUUCAGUCUGUUUGAAGUGAUUGAUGUCCCUGAGCGUAAUGUUCUUCUGGUUAUACUUAUACGGUUUCCCUCUAAAGACCCAUCUCAUUUUAGGUCAGGUAUUUCUUAAUUUAUGCACACUAAUCAAUCAAGAUACCCAAUAAAGCGAGUUAUGAACAUGACAAAUUCUGAUCGUCCAAGGAUGUGAAGGAGAUCAAUAUUGAUACCACCUGCUAUUCCUUUUCAGCUUCAUCGAGGCGAAACUCUAGCUAGAGAAAUGCGCCUUCAGAGUCAGUACAUGCUUUACUUCAUUUCUUUUUCCCUGUACGCUGACAGUAUCAACAGAUGCAAGUAUAUUUUUGCUAGUUGUGAACUUGUAGUUUAGCUCUGGCAGUGGUCGUGGUAGGAAGGAAUUUUGGACAGGCAAUAAGAUUGGCCUGUACGCUCGCUUGUCACUCUGUUUCUGGUCAGCACUUAGCAAUCUUGUAAUCUAGUAUACAUCAAGGACCAUUACUCUUGUUUUGAUUUGCAGAGAUCAAAUUGAUUGGAAUCAAUUGUACAGAUUUUUUUU